rnacentral:sRNA from 1 species
GCCACGCAUUCACCGCCAUGAUGGGUAGAAUUCUCAAACUGUGAGAGGGAUCAAAGCCUUCCUUCCUUGGUUGUUUAAAUCAGCUCACAGAGCAUCUCCAUCUGCCACUCGACACACCGUGUGAGCUACCACCGCGUCUCUUCUCUCGGUUACAGGUGACUACUAAGAAUUAAAGGCACAGAGAUUCAAAGAGCCCCUAAGGAGCCACGACUAGGAAACCGAAGGGAAGGAACAGGAUCUGUCUACUGUGAUAACACAGUAAACCCGAAAUGAACUCUGCAGAGGCCAGAGCAGCUGCAGCUGAGGGUGUGGAAGAUUGAGAGCAGAGGCGUUGAGCUGAGCCUAGCUGCAGAGAUAAAAAGGGCAAGACCAUGUUCAGGUGAAGGAAUGGAAAGAACAGAUAAAUAUCCAGAGGACGGGUGGUCCAGACUCAAGUAAUCCUGUCAACAGCAGGAAUGGAGCCUGGCUGAAGCCUAGGAAAGCUGGAGUCCCCUGCCUCUUGGUCCUUGAGGUACACAUCAGGUGUCAGACGGCAGCUGGGUGGGGCCUCUGCCAUCAGAUUGCCAGAUGGCUACCUUUGCACUGGGUCCAAGUGAAGGAGUUGUACCCUCUCUUUGUCUGUACAUAAGUGGUGCCCACCAGACUGUAUUCUGUGUUCACUAAGGCGUGUGGGUAUCCUCCACCCUCAAAAUGGAACCCAAAGCUAUUUAUGGAAUAUAGUCUUUCAGGGUGAGAAGCCACUGCUCUAUGCAACGCGAGGUCACUAAGAAUAGGACACUUGAUACCAACAUGGACACAGAGGGACCCCCCCUCCCCAAUGGGGACAAAGACCCUAGCUCUGGACUGUGGGAGUCCCAACACCAAACAUGGCUGUAAGAGUGCAAAUCAGCCUCUUACCUCUUGCUUUCUCUAGCGAGAUGGAGUGGCCUAGCAUGGCCUCCAGUGAAGCAUCUCUCUGCUGACAUCUGCUCAAGGGGCCACCGAAGACAACUUCUGACUUCAUUUGUUGGUUCCCCAGCAGCUCUUCGAGAAACUUUCUCAGAGGGAGACUCCGUCUUGAGUCUCUGCCAGGAGCAAGUGGGAUCGACGCUCAAGGUUCCCUCUCACCUGGAUCUGCCUUACAUCCGAGAGGUGGACUUUGUUGGCCUUUCCUGGAUCCCAGAACUAUAGGGGUACACACUCACGGCUUGCACACUGACUGAAGUGGCUCUUGAGAAACACUCUACAUGGCUUCUUCUGUCUUCCUUUCGUUUUGGUUUCUUGAAACAUGAGGGUCACAUAUGUUCGUUUUGAUUUUUGAGUUGGGAUUUAUUUCUAGACAUGAUAGGAGGAGAGAAAUUUCAACUCACUGAAUCCAUUCAAAAGCAGAAUGGCUGGCUCAUCAGCCAGGCCUCCAUAGGGCUUCUGGCUUGUUUCACAGCACGUCUAAGGGCGAAGUUUCCAUGAUUCCUUUCUCACUGGCUUAUCUGCACACUUCCCCUCUGGUUAGAUCACUCGCUAAUUAGAGAAGCAUGUUUUCUAUGGCCUCAUGUAAGGCAAGCAUCUAACUGAGCUUAAUCUCAUCAGAACCCUUUGGCCCAGCACUAAUAACUUCCUCCCACUUUCCUAUCUGUGCAUUAAUCACUGUGUUUGGAAAUGGUUAUCAGUCGUUCAUAGCUCAUCCUGUUUUGCUUUGGGUCUGUUCUUCCUGGCCUGUGUUUUGGGACACAUCCGGGUGUACAGUUUCUUGUCUAUGGUAGCCUAGCUGUGUUUGUCCAGCUUUUCCUCCCCGCUGUCUAUUAGCUUGAGGUAUCAGCAAAUGAUCCUGGAUCAGAGAACCAUGAUGGGUCCUUGGACCUGUGUGUGUGUGUGUGUGUGUG